UUUGAAAUCUGGCCUUCGGGUCCGAGUUGUAAUUUGUAGAGGAUGCUUUUGGUGCGGUACCUUCCGAGUUCCUUGGAACAGGACGCCUUAGAGGGUGAGAGCCCCGUACGGUUGGAUACCAAGCCUCUGUAAAGCUCCUUCGACGAGUCGAGUAGUUUGGGAAUGCUGCUCUAAAUGGGAGGUAAAUUUCUUCUAAAGCUAAAUACCGGCCAGAGACCGAUAGCGCACAAGUAGAGUGAUCGAAAGAUGAAAAGUACUUUGAAAAGAGGGUUAAAUAGCACGUGAAAUUGUUGAAAGGGAAGCGUUUAUGACCAGACCUUUGCCUGGCGGAUCAUCCGGUGUUCUUCACCGGUGCACUUCGCCUGGCUUAGGCCAGCAUCGAUUUUCGUUAGGGGACAAAGACCGCGGGAACGUGGCUCCCUCCGGGGAGUGUUAUAGCCCGCGGUGUAAUACCCUUGCGGGGAUCGAGGUUCGCGCUCUGCAAGGAUGCUGGCAUAAUGGUCAUCAACGACCCGUCUUGAAACACGGACCAAGGAGUCGAACAUUUAUGCGAGUGUUUGGGUGUCAAACCCUCACGCGUAAUGAAAGUGAACGGAGGUGAGAGCCCUUUCGGGUGCAUCAUCGACCGAUCCUGAUGUCUUCGGAUGGAUUUGAGUAAGAGCAUAACUGUUCGGACCC
rnacentral:rRNA from 1 species